rnacentral:rRNA from 1 species
GAACGAACGCUGGCGGCAGGCCUACCCCAUGCAAGUCGAGCGGACCCUUCGGGGUUAGCGGCGGACGGGUGAGUAACGCGUGGGAACGUGCCCUUUGCUUCGGAAUAGCCCUGGGAAACUGGGAGUAAUACCGGAUACGCCCUUUUGGGGAAAGAUUUAUCGGCGAAGGAUCGGCCCGCGUUGGAUUAGGUAGUUGGUGGGGUAAUGGCCUACCAAGCCGACGAUCCAUAGCUGGUUUGAGAGGAUGAUCAGCCACACUGGGACUGAGACACGGCCCAGACUCCUACGGGAGGCAGCAGUGGGGAAUCUUAGACAAUGGGGGAAACCCUGAUCUAGCCAUGCCGCGUGAGCGAUGAAGGCCUUAGGGUUGUAAAGCUCUUUCACCGGGGAAGAUAAUGACGGUACCCGGAGAAGAAGCCCCGGCUAACUCCGUG